UACAGAGGUCUCAAGCGUUGUUCGGAUUCAUUGGGCGUAAAGGGUGCGUAGGUGGCGCUGUAAGUCGGGUGUGAAAUUUCGGAGCUUAACUCCGAAACUGCAUUCGAUACUGCGGUGCUUGAGGACUGGAGAGGAGACUGGAAUUCAUGGUGUAGCAGUGAAAUGCGUAGAGAUCAUGAGGAAGACCAGUGGCGAAGGCGGGUCUCUGGACAGUUCCUGACGCUGAGGCACGAAGGCCAGGGGAGCAAACGGGG
rnacentral:rRNA from 1 species